rnacentral:rRNA from 1 species
UACGUAGGGGGCAAGCGUUGUCCGGAUUUACUGGGCGUAAAGGGCGCGUAGGCGGCCUGUUAAGUCGAACGUGAAAUCCCCGGGCUCAACCCGGGAACUGCGUCCGAUACUGGCAGGCUUGAAUCCGGGAGAGGGAUGCGGAAUUCCAGGUGUAGCGGUGAAAUGCGCAGAUAUCAGGAGGAACACCAAUGGCGAAGGCAGCUCGCUGGGACGGUACUGACGCUGAGACGCGAAAGCGUGGGGAGCAAACAGG